UACAGAGGGUGCAAGCGUUAAUCGGAAUUACUGGGCGUAAAGCGUGCGUAGACGGUUAUGUAAGUCAGAUGUGAAAGCCCCCGGGCUCAACCUGGGAAUUGCAUUUGAGACUGCAUAGCUAGGGUGCGGAAGAGGGAAGCGGAAUUUCCGGUGUAGCGGUGAAAUGCGUAGAUAUCAGGAGGAACACCAAUUGCGAAGGCAGCUCGCUGGGACGUUACUGACGCUGAGACGCGAAAGCGUGGGGGAGCGAACAGG
rnacentral:rRNA from 1 species